rnacentral:snRNA from 1 species
GGAUGUGAGGGAUAUCUGGCUGCAACAUCUGUCACCCCAUCAGUUGCCAGGGUUCAUUUGACUGAUCUGGCUUGGCUGGGCAGGGAUCCCUGUCCCCCCUCACCACUCUAGUUAUAUCCCUCCCAAAGCUGAGUUCUGGGUGGAAGAGACAACCUUUCCCAAUAGAGGUGGAUAGUUUUUUUGGUCGAGGGUAUACCAGUAGCUGAGCCUCCCCAAACAAGCUUUCAAGGUCCAUUAGUAGGAGAAUGUAGAGUAGUCAAGCUUUCAAGACUCCAGAUACAUCCAAAUAAGGUACUGCAUGUGGCAGUCUGCCUUUCUUA